rnacentral:rRNA from 1 species
AUUGAACGGUGGCGGCAGGCUUAACACAUGCAAGUCGAACGGCAGCACAGGCUUCGGCCGGGUGGCGAGUGGCGGACGGGUGAGUAACACGUAGGAAUCUGCCUGGUAAUGGGGGAUAACCCGGGGAAACUCGGGCUAAUACCGCAUACGCUCCACGGAGGAAAGCGGGGGAUCUUCGGACCUCGCCUUAUCAGCUGAGCCUGCGUCCGAUUAGCGAGUUGGCGGGGUAAAGGCCCACCAAGGCGACGAUCGGUAGCUGGUCUGAGAGGACGAUCAGCCACACUGGAACGGAAACACGGUCCAGACUCCUACGGGAGGCAGCAGUGGGGAAUAGUGGACAAUGGGCGCAAGCCUGAUCCAGCCAUGCCGCGUGUGUGAAGAAGGCCUGCGGGUUGUAAAGCACUUUAAGCAGGAAAGAAGGCUUCGGGGCUAAUAUCCCUGGAGAUUGACGUUACCUGCAGAAUAAGCACCGGCUAACUCCGUGCCAGCAGCCGCGGUAA